UUGACGUAGUAAGCCUCUAGCUCAGCUUUUAUGGUUUUUGUCUAAUUCCGAGACACGAAUUUCUAAUUUGUCUGAUGUCAAUAAUAGAAAAAAUGGUCAAUAAAAAAAAAUAACUUCUAACAACUGUAACAUCCUGUAUAACAAAAAGGUCAUUGGUUAUGCUGUGAACGAGAAUUACGAAAUACGUCAAGUUUAUACCACGAAUCCUUUUGAGUAAACAGUACAAGCCCAUAUAUUUGUUCACGUGAUUUCCUAUUGCGUCAUAAUGCCACCAUGAAUCCAUCGUGAUUCGGGACACGGUAUAAAGGAGACUGUUUGGCCCCACGACGCAACUUAAACGACGUGACGUAAGGAACGCAGGCGGUGAUAACUCGGAUAAUAUAUUUAAAAACAUCGAACGGCCACUAUCAGUAUUCAGUAAAGGAAUCGUUCAAUAGGAAGGAAGACGUUAGAAAUCGAAGCCAUGAAAAUUGUAUUUGUCCUUCUGGUAUUUGGUGUGGUUUGCCAGGCGCGACACAUUCACCCUGGCUACUUUGACCCGGAGGAAGUUUUAUUCGAGGAAAUUAAUAAUGGCGGAGCGGAUAUGCCAAUUGAAGUUUACCGGCAUCUGCAGCCGUCUCGCUUCGUUCCGCUGAAUAGCGCAAUAUUCUUCAAAUCCAUUGAACCUUGCGAAGAUGGAUUCAAAAGAGAUGUGUUGGGAAUAUGCAGGGAAGUUUGGGAUUAAACAUCUAAUUAAAUGAAGAAAAUAAAUAGUAAUGUUAUUGGUAAUAACUAAUAACAAUAACAACAACAACAACACAACACAAAUUAUAGUAAACUAUUCAGUUUUACAGAAAAUACUAAUAAAGACUUGGAAGCGAAACUUAUACCGUCUAACUUCCUGGGCCUUUUCUCCACUUCACUAUGUUGGUCGUUGAGUGUCUUAUUAUCUAACUAGGUAGUUAUUAAUAGGCUAGUUGACACUUUUUUUAAAUUGUUCAUUAGCGUUCUACAAGAUUGAAAAAAAAUUAUUACCUAUUAUUUUUUGGGACUACAUAAAAAUUACAUAAAAAAGGAGAAUACAUUAAAAUUUCAGUUUUUAAAUAUUUUUUGACAAUACUAGCCAAAACGUUCUAUACUUUAACUGUUUCAUGACGGCACGUUAACACAAAACCUUAUACAAACGGAGUGUUUGACAAAAUUGUUCAUUAUAAGUUUGAUUUUGAUUCAUUUGGUGACAUCAAGUAACAUCGGGAGUUCACAAAAUGGACGACAGCGUUUUUGACGUUUGGAAAAAUACGUAAAUUUUUAAAUUGAGUUUUCACUGAAAUACAUAACUUUUAUUCAUUGAUAUCGAUAUAUUUCGGACCCUUGUUCCGUCACGACACAAAAAGAAUAUUGUUUAUAUUAAAUUUGAUAUGAGUUAACUAUUAAAACUAUGAAAAUUAUUUUGAAGUAUUUUUUUUUGUUGUAAGUUUAGCAAACAACUAAGUUGUCAUUAAUAUUGUGAUAUUAGUGUAAUUUAUUUAGAUUAAGUAUAGAUGAUAUUGUAUUUUUAACCGACUGCCAAAAGGGAGGAGGUUCUACGUUCGGCUGUAUGUAUGUUUUUUUUAUAAGAAUAUACAAUUAUUAUGCUUUUGUAUGCCGCAUGCGUUUUACGAGAGAAAUAUAUUUUUCAUGUGUGUGAUGAUGCAAUAAAACAAUAAAUUGUGAAUUUGU